UGCUCCUUUCCUUGUCUACGCAUAGGCUGUAUGGCUGAUUAAGUAAAGCAAGUGGAGAGCCUGAGGAUGCAGAGCUAUAAAUCUGAAAGAGCAGCUGAGAUUACUGAACAGUCACUUGUCUUCAGCUGCUCACACUAGAAAUACUGUUGGACAGCAAAGAUUUGAGAUGAAAUCCUGAUGUGUCAGUGCCCUACCCAGCCUGGAAAGGACUAUCCUUCC